AAAUCCCAAAAGUUCACUGCAGGGCACUUAGCCUCCAAAGACACUGCUCUUGUGGACAGAACUUAAUUGGGGUGAUUUUCUUCUAGAUGGAAGAUUUUUGUGACUAAUCUCUCCAGGUAAGAAAAAUCAGAUCGACACCCUAUGGAUCUCACUUGUAAUUCCAGACAGGAAAAAAAGAAAAAAGAAGAAAGAAGAGGCAAAAAGGAAACACAGAGGACUGAUGAGCAAGACAACCGAGGGAGAUGGAGUCCAGCGCAGGAGCUGUGGAAGACGGAAACUGACCACACGUGUGGGGCUAAGUCCUUCACCCCAAGAACCCCAAGAGCUGCAUGGGUCGCGGCAAUCUAAGAAGAAAAAGGCCUUGUUUCAUCACUCAGGUCAGAAGCAAAGGCAAGGAAAGGUAACCUGGACCUGCAGUGUCACCUUCUGCCCUAUGCUGCGUAAAUGUGGGUCACGGCUUCGCCAUUGGCACUGCCUUGAAGAAUCUGAGGUAUCAGGAGGUCAGGGACUCCAGGUGGCCUCCAGUCGACAGAGGAGCACUCUAAGUGCCAAAUCCUGUCUCUCACAUUUGCUGUUCAACUAAGGAUCUUGAAAUGCUUUUUUUUUUUUUGGCUUUUUCGUUUUUACCGGUACCAGGGAUCGAACUCACAACUGCCUGCUUUCAAGGCAGGCGCUUAUGCUGCUGAGCUAAAUCCCCAGCCCCCGAAAUGCUUUUUAAAAAUCAGAAAACUUAGAGAAUAGGAGAAAGAGUGACUUAUGAAUAAAGGGUAACUGAACUUCCUGAAAAAUAUAGCGAGCAUUUAACAAUUUACCACUUUUUCAAAAUGUUAACUCUUAUGACUUUUAGGGCCCAGAUUACUAAGUUAAUCUCCACAUGAAUCCAACUGUGAACUAAUAGAUCUAAAAGUCAUGCUGAUGUACAGGUUUUUGAGCCCUAAACAUAUUAUGAUAGGGCUGCAAUAUUUCGACCUUAACAUUUGAAGAAGUCUACACCUCUUGCUGUACUUUGUAAAAAACUGUCUGUUCUAUACAUUGUGACACUAAUUCUACAACUGUUUAUUGGGGACUGUCUAUACUAAGUUGAAUGUCAGGGAUAAAAAGUUAAGUACAACACAGCUCAUAACAGUUCUUUGGUUAAUUAUGGACUUUAUUGUCUACCUGCUAGCUAGAGUCCCACCCUCUUAUAAGAAGUUUGUCAUUAUCUUCAAAUGUUUGGACUUUUCAUACAGCCAUUUAUGAAGUAUGUUGAAGUUAAAGACAGAAAAUCAUUUGAAUAGCAACAUGCAUACCUAAAUUUUUUUUAGCUCAAAUCAAGCAGUACCUGCUGAUACUGAGGACUGAACCCUGGGCCUCCGCCUUGAGCUACAUUUUCAGUUCUUUUCUGUGUUUCAUUUUGAGUCAGCAUCUUGCUAAGUCAUUAAAUUGCCCAAUCAGGACUAGAGUUUGCAGUCCUCCUGCUUCAGCCUUGUGGGAGCUGGAAUUACAGGCAUGUGUCACCAUGCCUGACUCAUAAUCUUUCAUUGUUGGUGCAUCUUGUUUUAUUCUUGGAAAAAAUACAAUAAGUAAUUAAUAAUAGCAGUUAAUUAAUUCAUCAGUAUGCAAAACAGCAACCUGACUUUCCUGAAGAGUCAUCGCAUUAUAAUUCAUGAGCUGAGAGGAUUCUGAUUUCAUCAUGUACUGUAUACCUUGGGAACAAUUCUACCAGAAUGUAUCUAAUUUUUCAGAGAUAUAAUAGAGGGAACUAUUGGUAGCUUAGAAAUCCAUUUCAUAUUUUCUGUUGUUGUUUUAGUUUUUUUUUUCAUGUUUGUAGUACUAGAUGUUGAGAAUGGGUUUAGGAACUUCGAAUGUUAUCAGGUUGGAUCUAUAAAGCUACAUUGAAACGUACGGUCAUCUCCAUCUAGUUUGCGCUUAAUAAAUUACAAGUGGUUAGAUUCAUGUAUCUUUGUCAUAUUAUUCACAUUUGACAGAAUAAUUCAAAUGAAAAUAAGAAGUAUAAGUUAUAAUCCAAACUAGGAAACAACCCAGUAUCAUUUUUCUUAAGUUGAAGUUACAGAAAACAGAGAGGGGCAGAGUAGAGACAAAACAACAAUGUUCAAUGUAGUCUCACUAAAACCACAUUUAAAGUAUAAAAUGGUUUUAACAUAAAGUAAUAUAGAGGAAAGUAUUUCUCUCAAAUAAUGAGGCAGCCUAGAACCUAGUUCUGAAAACUGAUGCACCACACUAUGCUAGUUCAGCUUCAAUAUGAUUUCAACUCAGCUGUACAAUAUGUCUACAAACUAUGAGACGAAAAUAUAGGGAACUACAGCUGUGGUCGAUAAGAAGAACAUGCUUUAAGGUAUCCUUCUAAAAGUUCAGUUUUCACUUUCUCCU
ensembl:lincRNA